rnacentral:rRNA from 1 species
UACGGAGGGUGCAAGCGUUAAUCGGAAUUACUGGGCGUAAAGCGUGCGCAGGCGGUUUGUUAAGUCCGUUGUGAAAGCCCCGAGCUCAACUUGGGAAUUGCAGUGGAUACUGGCAGGCUGGAGUACGGUAGAGGAAGGUGGAAUUCCCGGUGUAGCAGUGAAAUGCGCAGAUAUCGGGAGGGACACCGGUGGCGAAGGCGGUUCUCUGGGCCUGUACUGACGCUGAGGAGCGAAAGCGUGGGGAGCGAACAGG